CCCUUAGAUGUCCUGGGCCGCACGCGCGCUACACUGACACAUGCAACGAGUUUAUAACCUUGGUCGAGAGUCCUGGGUAAUCUUUUGAACGUGUGUCGUGAUAGGGAUUGAUAAUUGCAAUUGUUUAUCAUGAACGAGGAAUUCCUAGUAAACGCAAGUCAUCAGCUUGCAUUGAUUACGUCCCUGCCCUUUGUACACACCGCCCGUCGCACCUACCGAUUGAAUGAUUCGGUGAAGCUUUCGGACUACGACUUUGUUGGUUUAUUCUGACGCUGUUGUGGGAAGUUAUCUAAACCUCAUCAUUUAGAGGAAGGUGAAGUCGUAACA
rnacentral:rRNA from 1 species